rnacentral:rRNA from 1 species
UACGUAGGGUGCAAACGUUGUUCGGAAUUAUUGGGCGUAAAGCGCGUGUAGGUGGUUAUGUAAGUCGGAGGUGAAAGCCCUGGGCUCAACCGAGGAAGUGCCCCCGAAACUACAUAACUCGAGGAUGGUAGAGGAAGAUGGAAUUCCUAGUGUAGAGGUGAAAUUCGUAGAUAUUAGGAGGAAUACCUGUGGCGAAGGCGGUCUUCUGGGCCAUACCUGACACUGAGACGCGAAAGCGUGGGUAGCAAACAGG